AGCCUGGCCUCCCCACUCUGAGUCCCUUCAUCCCUGUGGGAGGCUCCCCACUUGUGCUCCUCCCCGAGAUGUGGCCAGUGGGGCCUCAAGGGAGCAGUGCCAUGCUGUGCGGACCAUCAGCCUCCAAAACCAGCUAAAGAAACUUCUUUUCUUUAUAACGUACCCAGCCCCACAUAUUUUGUUUUAGUCACAGAAGACUGACUACCGCCCUUCCUGACACUGCCACGCUGGUGCCUGGGCACCCGACACUCUGCAUGGUCCUUCCUCCCCAGUCAGGUCUGCAGACACAUUUCAGAGGAUGAAACCACUCUCGCCCCGCGACAAAGCCCUGCCUCCUACCUUCCUGACCUUUUCCAGUUGCCUGCCUCUCCCUACCUACAGGCACCACGAUGAUGUGGCCACCGUGGACUCUGGUGGACAUGACUGCUGCGGCCUUCUGCCUGGUCUCCCUGUGGGGACAAAGGCGCUAUAACAUUUCAAAUGACAUCUGGGAUUUGCAUCCUAUCCCCACUGGACACGACCUCAACAUAGUAACAUCCCCCAGCCAUUCACGGGGAGACCAAGUUCCGUCCAGGAGCACAGGCAGCGCAGGUCUGGGAGCCCCUUCUGUGCCGUGGAAUCAGAACUGAGCAGGGGCUGGAUCGGACCAGAGAAGAUGACAGAAAGCGGGGAGGGAUUCGUGGAGCAGCUUCAGAAGUCACGCAGUGAGCACGCUGGACUUGGGGUGGGGUCGUCCUGAGAAGAGGGCGGGUGUCUGGCCUGGAGGUUGCUCCUCUUCUCCCUUCUGUCCGCAGUCCCACUCCGCCCCUGUCUCCUGGCAGGGCCUGGACAACCCGAAACCUGUCCUCAGUGGAGAGGCCAGGCCCUCAUGGCUCUGUGCAGGGUCUGUACCCAGACUGGGGCUUCUACGGGCUACUCCUCGGGCUGAAGCCCCCAAGAACUUUGUACAAGGAGACAGGAGUCCCUGAGGAGAAGUGGAGAGCACACGUCACCCGCAUGCGGUCUGUUGGGCCUGUCAAAGCUGAGGCCCGGUCAUGGCGGGGAGAGAGAGCGCAGCUACUGGGAAGAGUUUGAGCCCGGAAUUUACC